AUUGAACGCUGGCGGCAGGCCUAACACAUGCAAGUCGAGCGGUAGAGAGAAGCUUGCUUCUCUUGAGAGCGGGCGGACGGGUGAGUAAUGCCUAGGAAUCUGCCUGGUAGUGGGGGAUAACGUUCGGAAACGGACGCUAAUACCGCAUACGUCCUACGGGAGAAAGCAGGGGACCUUCGGGCCUUGCGCUAUCAGAUGAGCCUAGGUCGGAUUAGCUAGUUGGUGGGGUAAUGGCUCACCAAGGCGACGAUCCGUAACUGGUCUGAGAGGAUGAUCAGUCACACUGGAACUGAGACACGGUCCAGACUCCUACGGGAGGCAGCAGUGGGGAAUAUUGGACAAUGGGCGAAAGCCUGAUCCAGCCAUGCCGCGUGUGUGAAGAAGGUCUUCGGAUUGUAAAGCACUUUAAGUUGGGAGGAAGGGUUGUAGAUUAAUACUCUGCAAUUUUGACGUUACCGACAGAAUAAGCACCGGCUAACUCUGUGCCAGCAGCCGCGGUAAUACAGAGGGUGCAAGCGUUAAUCGGAAUUACUGGGCGUAAAGCGCGCGUAGGUGGUUAGUUAAGUUGGAUGUGAAAUCCCCGGGCUCAACCUGGGAACUGCAUUCAAAACUGACUGACUAGAGUAUGGUAGAGGGUGGUGGAAUUUCCUGUGUAGCGGUGAAAUGCGUAGAUAUAGGAAGGAACACCAGUGGCGAAGGCGGCUCACUGGACUGGUAUUGACGCUGAGGUGCGAAAGCGUGGGGAGCAAACAGGAUUAGAUACCCUGGUAGUCCACGCCGUAAACGAUGAUAACUAGCUGUCGGGGGCCUUAGGCUUUCGGUGGCGCAGCUAACGCAUUAAGUUAUCC
rnacentral:rRNA from 1 species